GUGGCUUGCGCUCCGGUACCACGCGCUAAUGUUUACAGAAAGUAGGUAUGGCUCGUAGAAGCGGUGUGGUUUAGCCAUACCAAUUGGAUCCAGAAUCUGACCCAGAAGGAGAGGCUCCUUAACAAAUUCAAUCUCUGCGGCUGCAGCAGGACGUUUCUGAAUGGUGCUCCUGUGGAAACUGCUGCCAUGCCCACAGAAGCUGAGAAUAUCUGCUGUUUGGAGAUACCACAGGUUACCAGACGGCUGGGGGAGGUUGAGGAUGAGCCAU